rnacentral:rRNA from 1 species
AUUGAACGCUGGCGGCAGGCCUAACACAUGCAAGUCGAACGAGUGGCGGACGGGUGCGUAAUGUCUGGGAAACUGCCUGAUGGAGGGGGAUAACUACUGGAAACGGUCGCUAAUACCGCAUACACUCGGCUGUGCCCCGAUGGGAUUAGCUAGUCGUGGGGGGAAAGGCUCAACUAGGCGACGAUCCAUAGCUGGUCGGAGAGGAUGACCAGCCACACUGGAACUGAGACACGGUCCAGACUCCUACGGGAGGCAGCAGUGGGGAAUAUUGCACAAUGGGCGCAAGCCUGAUGCAGCCAUGCCGCGUGUAUGAAGAAGGCCUUCGGGUUGUAAAGUACUGUCAGCGGGGAGGCGUUACCCGCAGAAGAAGCACCGGCUAACUCCGUGCCAGCAGCCGCGGUAAUUC